UACGUAGGGGGGCAAGCGUUGUCCGGAAUCAUUGGGCGUAAAGAGCGUGUAGGCGGCCCGGUAAGUCCGCUGUGAAAGUCCAGGGCUCAACCCUGGGAUGCCGGUGGAUACUGUCGGGCUCGAGUCCGGAAGAGGAGUGUGGAAUUCCUGGUGUAGCGGUGAAAUGCGCAGAUAUCAGGAGGAACACCAAUGGCGAAGGCAGCACUCUGGGACGUGACUGACGCUGAGACGCGAAAGCGUGGGGGGCAAACAGG
rnacentral:rRNA from 1 species